rnacentral:lncRNA from 1 species
UUUGCAACAUCAUUCUUGACUUUGGCAAGCAUGUAUAAGCAUAAGAGCAAAUUACAAGGCUUGUUUGUUAGUGAUGAAUGGAACGGGUCUAAAUUUUCCCUAGUUAAAGAAGGUGAACAAGAUGAAAAUAUUGUCCUUUCAGUAUCAUUUUGGCAAACUCUUGAAAAUUGUCUUCGGGCUUCACAACCACUACUCAUUGCUCUAAGGAUUGCUGACGGCGAUGAGACGCCAGCAGCUCCAGAGAUAAUGGCAGCUAUGGACAAAUCAAAAGCUACCAUACAGGAGUCUUUGAAAGAGAAGCCACGAUUACUUGUUGAAGUAAUCUCAUGCUUUGAGAAGAGGUGGGAUACUCAGAUGGAGCAAAAAUUAUAUGGGGCAGCCCUUUAUUUGAAUCCAGGUAAAUUCUUUACCUUGAGGGAUAAAGACAGGAGGCAAGCUGCAAGACUUCGAGCUAUGUUCAAUGAUGUUUUGUGGAAAAUGAUCAGUGAUGAGGAUGAGCAAACAAAAAUAAGUAAACAAGCAGAUGACUACGAAAGAUCAGAAGGGGAAUGCUUUUCAAAGGCUGGAGCAAUAAGAGAAAGAGAGAGAAAAAGUCCUAGUAAGUUUUACUAUUGCAGCAUUAGUUAGUUUGUUUGCCUGUUUCUGUUUGGCACUAGAACUGAUCUAAUUUUUGUAUAACUAUAACAGUCCUAUGGUGGGGUGCAUAUGGAGGACUGGCAUAUGAACUACAAAUCUUAGCAAAAAGGGUUAUAAGCCUAUGUUGUGCAGCUUCAGGUUGUGAGAGAAAUUGGUCAGAUUUUGUAGCAGUAAGUAUUGUUGUUCUUGUUCACUUGUUUGAGUGGUUGUAUGGGUCAGCCCUUUAUUUGCUGAAUCUGAUGUCUUGCAAUUGUGCAUUUUUAGAUCCAUACAAAAAAGAGGAACCGACUAGAACACCAGAGGCUUAAUAAAUUGGUCUAUGUCAGUUACAA